AACAUGAUAUAUGUGUUAUAUAUAGAAUUUCUGAAUGCUUGGUGAUGAGAAAACUGCAAACUAAGUCAGAUACAGCACUGACCUAGAAAGCAUUGAGACCCUGCACUAUAUGUGAUAAGUACAAAUGCUUUUCUAACUUUAUUUACUUGUUACUUGCUGGUCGAUCUUUUCUUUUGUGUGAUAGAAUCAGCUCCUAAAGUGUACUGUGGUCUACAUCUGUGAAUUUAAAGUAAGGAAAUAGAAUUUGCUGGCCCAAAGCAGAAGAGGAAGUGGAGGGGCUUGGUUUCCAAGGAAAGAAGCUGGAGAACAGUGCAAAAAGAAGGGAGCUGUGAAUGAAAUAGAGGGCAAGUGGAAGACAGACCAUUAUUCUCAUUGUUGCAUCCACUUCUGCCUUGAGGCAGUGAAGAGGGCUCCUGUUUGUGCUGCAUCUCUGCACAGUUUCACUGAAAUGGAAUCAUCUCCAAUGUAUCUGCUAAACCCUGGCUAAAGACAAGAAAGUCUGAACACAGCAAGCCUACAUCCUGCUGGACUUACUCAGAGCAUGAAGACAACGAAAUGCAGAAGGCCAAGAUGACCCAACUUCAGUCCAGAACUCGGUAAUAAAAUACCCAGGAGAACCACGCACUUGUGAAAGGAAGAGGCAAUGGAACUGAGACUGAACACCUAUCUGGUCAGCAGGAGAUCAGAAGUUAUGUUCAGCUCUCAGCAACCUGCCUGUCAGCCUGGAAUGCUGCUGUAAAAUCCAUGCAGUUAUGCUGCCUUCACAUCAAAGCCUCCAGCCAGAUGAAAUUUGUAUGUGUGAGGAGUUUGUGCUGGGUGCAAAUACCUGAAAUACUGUAGUUCCCUGUGGGUUGAAGAGCAAGCAUCCACGAAUAAAUGUAAUUUUGAAUUGUCCCACUGACUGACCAACACCACACAAUAAAGCAGUCCCUUUCCUGCUGGGGCUUAGCACUGCUUGUUUCCCUGUCUGCACAGAUACCAUGUAUGCUGCAAAUUAAAUGAGAAAACAAAAAAUCACCUUAAAAAUACAAUGUUCCCUACUGGUUUGUGUUUAUGCAAUAGAGAGAGCCAAGGAGAAGAUGUGACCCAUAUACUCUGGUUAUAGAACUGAAAUUUCUUACAGAAAUUUAAUGUUUUGGUAAUCCUAGGUACUCCUUUGGGACUCUGGCCUGUGUCUGUGUUGAUAUUUCAAUCUGCAGGAGCUGAGGCCUAAAACAAGUUCCUCAAAUAAAAUGCCAUAACAUUGCCGAGCCAAAGGAAAUAACAGUGGUGGAAGAUACAUGGAUAAGCAAAUUCAAUGGGUCACUUGUAGGGAAGUUGUAGCUACUCAGACAUGUGAAGGGAAUAUUCGCUGAAGAAGCAGAGUGGAAUUCUCCUCCAUUUAAAUGUAUUCACUGACUGAAGUGGGAGUAUUCAAAGCAUAUUUUUCUCCUAUUAAGCAAGUACCAGCUGCUGGAACAGAAAGAUGUGCAGGAGAGUGGAUCCAGCAGGUUCCUUCCUUUGCUCUGAGAGCUCUGAGAGCAUCUCAAAGGCUGCCCUAGGCUCUAAUGUCUGGUAAAAGAUCCCAGAGGAUGAGAAUUGGUCAUGACAACUCCAGCAACACAAACUCCCAUCUCCUCUCCUGCCUGGAUAUGACUUCAGAGGAAUUUUCUUAGGGAUGUGGGAUACCCUUCACAUAUAACAAGA